rnacentral:lncRNA from 1 species
AAAGCAGCUUCUUUUCUUCUUCUUCUUCCUCCUCCUCCUCCAACCCAACAAGCCCAAAAGCCUGGAGCCACUACCACCACCACCGGCUUCUCCCCCUCUGCGCGUAAUCGUACCACCAGCUUUGACCUCCACCCACCAUUGCCCCUAUAAAUCUCGGGCUCUCCUCCCGAUUCGCCACCUAAAGGAGCCGCCUUUGCUUCGGCCGGCCAAGAAAGAGGAAGAGGGUGUUUCUUUCUUGGGACGGCGAUGGAGGGCGGCAGAGGUGGAGCCGGCGGUGCGGGGGACUACAUUUCCAGCCUCCUCAACUCGUCCCCGCGCCUCGACUUCGGGUUGCUGG